rnacentral:rRNA from 1 species
AACGAACGCUGGCGGCGUGCCUAACACAUGCAAGUCGAGCGGGAAAGUGGGGGCAACUCCACGAGUACAGCGGCGCACGGGUGAGUAACACGUAGGUAACCUGCCCACGGGACUGGGAUAACCUGUCGAAAGACGGGCUAAUACCGGAUAAGACCACGAUAGUUUCGGCUUUUGCGGUAAAAGAUGGCCUCUGCUUGCAAGCUAUCACCUGAGGAUGGGCCUGCGCGCCAUUAGCUAGUUGGUGAGGUAACGGCCCACCAACGGCGAAGAUGGCGUAGCUGGUCUGAGAGGAUGGCCAGCCACACUGGGACGUGAGACACGGGCCCAGACUCCUACGGGAAGGCGAGCAGUGGGGAAUAUUGCGCAAUGGGCGAAAG